rnacentral:rRNA from 1 species
CCCUUAGAUGUUCUGGGCCGCACGCGCGCUACACUGAUGCAUUCAACGAGUCUAAAACCUGCUCUGAUAGGGGUGGGUAAUCUUUUGAAUGUGCAUCGUGAUUGGGAUAGAUGAUUGCAAUUUUUCAUCUUCAACGAGGAAUGCCUAGUAAACGCAAGUCAUCAGCUUGCAUUGAUUACGUCCCUGCCCUUUGUACACACCGCCCGUCGCUCCUACCGAUUGAAUGAUUCGAUGAAUAUCAUGGAUUGAGGAUGCAAGUAGGUUAGCCUAUCUUCAUCUUCGAGAAGUGAAGUAAAUCUUAUCAUUUAGAGGAAGGAGAAGUCGUAACA